CUGUGUGGAGACCAGAAAGGUGGUUCACUGGGCAUGAAUGGGGGGUGCUGGGCUGAGGGCUUCAAAUCCUGGAUUGGUAGCAGAACAAAUUGGCAUGGCUUUAGAAUUUCCUCCAGCACUGUUUGGCAGUCUGGGAGCAGGAACAGAGAAAAUGGAUGGUUGGCUCUAUUCAGGGUCGGGAAUUGGCAAAAUAGAUGUGGCAGAAAAUCAAGGGGCUUGGAGAUCUGAAGAUUUAGAAAGUUCACUGUCUUAACCUCACAACGUGAUUUACACAGUGUGUUGGGGGGGACUGUUGGCAGGAGGCCUUUGGUGGCUCUUUGUCCCUGACUGGUCCAAGUCUGUGAUAAUGUGCCUCAAUGUGGAUCUUAUUUUGUCUCUGAGGCUGGGCUCCUACUGUGCUCUUUCAAACGAGAGACUUUCACUCUUGUGUUGAUACAUGUUUCCUACUUGCUGUUUUCUGUUCGAAACUAGAACUCUUUUUCCUAUUAUUUAUCUGUGAGACCUUCUGGGUCAAUCCUCUCUCUCCCGUCUUCCUCUCCUCCACUCGAUUAUCUUUCCUCUUCUUAGCUCUAUUUGUUUUCUUUCUGGGAAGAAACGAGGAUGAACUUUAUUUUGAAGUUCAUCCAGGGACAUUUUUAUUUUGGAUAUUGUAUUUUUUUGAGAACUCUCUUCAGCUCGCUGAUAACAAAAUCCUUGUUUUAUGGCUGCAUUAUCUUCUCAUUAUCUCUUAAGGAUGUGAUUUAACAUUUUUAAAAGUCCUGUAGUUUCUUUCCCUUUCUAUCCCUUUCCUCCCCUCUUCCCCUCCCCUCCUCCCUUCCAUUCCCUCUCUCUUCAUCUUUCAAUCACUCUCUCUUUGUCUCUGUCUUUCUUCCCCCUCUUUUUCCCCCCUUAAUUAACCCAAGUUCUGGGCACAGUGAGAAAUAAAGCCAAUAAAGUAAGGAGGUGGGAGAUCAAAACACCACUCCUUUUAAACUGUUGAAAGCUCAGUGAGUGAGAGCCGAGCGGGCCUGAGAACGGAAGCCCAGACGGCGGACUCAUGCGCUCAGCCACGGGCAGCACUGGACGGAGGCAGGCCUCCUCUCACGGUUCACCCCUGGCCUGCCCAAGAAGCACAGAGAUGGAAAAGUUGGGAAAUCUGGAGCUGGCGAAGGAAGAGGAUCACAGCACAUCAGAGAACUUUGCCAGGAAGUGGUUUUGGAAAAGUGACUUAUACUGAUGGCCCAUCCUGUAUAAGUUUGUAGCAUGGCCCCUGUGGUGUCAUUUUCUGCCUACUGAGCUAUUCAGGGGCAUGUUGCCACCGUAGAACUCUGGGAGGAGCCCAGGACUGAAGAUGCUGGCAUUUCCACCAAGGAUACUGUCUUUGAUGGGGCCAGAGUUGCUAGUGCCCCUUCCUGCUUCCCAGGCAGAUCUGAGCUCCCCUACAUGUGUGAAAAAGUGCCAGUCUCGCAUGAUGUUAGAAGGACAGUGCACAUGGAGGUGGAUUAAUACUCAACCGUAUUCGUUAAGGAAGAAUUAAGAAAAGGUGGGCCUCAUCCGAUCAGUUGAAGACCUGAAUAGACCAAAAGGCUGAGCUUCCUGGAGCAAGAGGGAAUUCUGCCAGCAGACUGCCUUUGGACUUGAACUGCAACUCCUUUCUGAGUCUCCAGCCUUCUGUCCACCCUCAUCAGAUUUUGGACUUGCUAAGCCUCCACAAGUGUGUGAGCCAAUUCCUUAAAAUAAAUGCAGCCUCUCUCUGGAGAGCCCUGACUAAUGCA